UGUUGACGUUCGAAGUCGUCAGCAUAUCCGAAGGGAAGUAUAUUCGAAUCUAUUGUAGAAGUAUCUAAUUUCUGUUUCGGUUUCAUAUUUUUUGCUUAUAAACCAGACGGUAUGUCCGUGGCAUGCGCUUCACGAUUUGCUGUCUUGAAAUUGGAAGACGAAGAGAUCACAGCAACAACGACAACAUCCAAACUGGAAAAAAAUCGAAAUAGUCUAAAUCUCCAGGAAUGUAAACAGUCUAAUGAAUCCAAAACAAAGAAGAAGAAAAAGAAAAACUCUCAGGAUAAUGAGGCUGGAUGUCAAACAGCUACAAACAUUUUCAUUUUCAAGAUAUUUUUAUGAUGAUGAGACAGCUACAGAAGAUUAUAUAGAUUCUAUUAUACUUUAUGAAGACUGAU
rnacentral:lncRNA from 1 species